AUUGAACGCUGGCGGCAGGCCUAACACAUGCAAGUCGAACGAAUGAAGGUAGCUUGCUCAUGGAUUUAGUGGCGAACGGGUGAGUAAUGCCUCGGAAUGUGCCUUGUAGUGGGGGAUAACGUGCCGAAACGGGAGCUAAUACCGCAUACGCCCUGAGGGGGAAAGUGGGGGAUCUUCGGACCUCACGUUAUAAGAGCAGCCGAGGUCGGAUUAGCUAGUUGGUGGGGUAAUGGCCUACCAAGGCGACGAUCCGUAACUGGUCUGAGAGGACGAACAGGCACCCUGGGACAGAGGCACGGUCCAGACUCCUACGGGGAGCAACAGUUGGGAAUAUUGGGCAAUGGGGGAAAGGCUGAUCCAGCCAUGCCGCGUGAGUGAAGAAGGUCUUCGGGUUGUAAAGCACUUUAGGUAGGGAGGAAGGACAAUAAUUUAAUACCUGGCGAUGUUGACGGUACCUAGAGAAGAAGCACCGGCUAACUUCGUG
rnacentral:rRNA from 1 species